rnacentral:rRNA from 1 species
UUUUUUAGUCUGGCCUGCCCACUGAAGUUGUUAAAGGGCCGCGGUAUUUGGACCGUGCUAAGGUAGCAUAAUCAAUAGUCUCUUAAUUAGAGUCUGGAAUGAAUGGUUGGAUGAAAUACAAUUUGUCUUCAAAUAUAAUGUUGAAUUUUACUUUUAAGUGUAAAGGCUUAAAUUAAGUAAAGGGACGAUAAGACCCUGUGAAGCUUUACUUUUGUUGAGUGUUAAUGUUUGAUAAUUAUGUGCUUAGGCUUAUAGUCAACAAAAGUUGGGUUGGGGCGACUGGAAUAUAAUUUUAACUGUUUUGGUUAGUAAAAUAAGUGAUUUUUAGUUGGUUGAUCUUAUAAUAUAGAUUAAAAAAUUUGAGUUACUCCAGGGAUAACAGCGUAAUUCUUUUUGAGAGUUCUUAUCGACAAAAGUAUUUGCGACCUCGAUGUUGAAUUAAGAUUUCGUCAAGGUGUAGAAGUUUUGAUUGUGGGUCUGUUC